rnacentral:rRNA from 1 species
GGACCCGACCGCUAUCGGGGUGGGGCUAAGCCAUGCUAGUCGGCGCCCCGGGCCACGGCGGGGCGCGGCGCAUAGCUCAGUAGCACGUGGCUAACCUACCCUCGGGACGGGGACAACCCCGGGAAACUGGGGCUGAUCCCCGAUAGGUGGAGACACCUGGAAUGGGUCUCCACCGAAAGGGAUGCAGUGCCAUGCCCGCUGCAUCCGCCCGAGGAUGGGGCUGCGGCCCAUCAGGUAGUUGGCGGGGUAACGGCCCGCCAAGCCGAAGACGGGUGGGGGCCGUGGGAGCGGGAGCCCCGAGAUGGGCACUGAGACAAGGGCCCAGGUCCUACGGGGCGCAGCAGGCGCGAAAAUUCCGCAAUGCGGGAAACCGCGACGGAGCCACCCCGAGUGCCGCCCGAAGAGGGCGGCUUUUCCCCGGUGUAAACAGCCGG